ACUUCUGGGAGCCGAAAGUGGUAAUUGUGUCUGUAUGGGGCUGCAGUGUCAGACCUCGGCUAAACGUAAAGGAUGACCACAGCAGCCAGGCCAACUUUUGAACCUGCCAGAAGUGGAAGAGGAACAGGAGAAGGUGAUUUGAGUCAACUCUCAAAGCAGUAUUCAAGCAGAGACCUACCCUCUCAUACAAAGAUAAAGUACAGACAGACAGCUCAGGAUGCUCCUGAAGAGGUGCGCAACCGUGACUUCAGGAGAGAGUUGGAAGAAAGAGAGAGAGCUGCUGCAGGAGAGAAAAAUAGAGACUGCCCAACCCGAGAACAUACAACCUCCUCUUUAGUGUCUAAAAAGCCUCAGUUAGACCAGAUUCCUGCUGCCAACCUUGAUGCAGAUGACCUGCUAACAGACGAGGAAGAUGAAGAUUUUGAAGAAGAAAGUGAUGAUGAUGGUACUGCAGCUCUUCUUGCAGAACUGCAAAAAAUUAAAAAAGAAGGAGCUGAGGAGCAAGCCAGGAAGGAACAAGAGCAAAAAGCUGAAGAAGAAAGGAUUCGUAUGGAGAAUAUUCUGAGUGGAAAUCCUCUCUUAACUCUCACUGGCCCAUCCCAGCCUCAGGCCAACUUCCAAGUUCAAAGAAGGUGGGAUGACGAUGUUGUUUUCAAGAACUGUGCAAAAGGUGUAGACGAUCAGAAGAAAGACAAAAGGUUUGUAAAUGAUAUACGCGGUCUGAAUUUCACAAAAAGUUCAUGGAGAAAUAUAUGAAGUAGCACAGUUUUAUGUGCUUAAUUAAAGACUGUAAAAUGUGAAGGAUCAUUUUUUUCUUUUUCCUUGUCUAAAUUGUGUAUAGGUUUCCCUAAUUUUGAAUUCC